CGAGAAAGGUCGCUUAUUAAUCGGGAUAUAAAUCCCCGGGCUCAACCUGAAAAUGAGUUAUAACUGGGUAGCUAGAGUAUGUUAGAGGGGGGUAGAAUUCCACGUGUAGCAGUAAAAUGCGUAGAGAUGUGGAGGAAUUCCGAUGGCGAAGGCAACCCCCUGUUAUAAUUCUGACUUUCAGGCUUAAGCGCGUGGGUAGCAAUCGGC
rnacentral:rRNA from 1 species